CAGAGCUAAUGGCAGAGGGCUGGAGAACAUAGCCAAACCCUAGUCGCCACGCCACCGCCCGCCGCCCGAUUCCGAUGGACUUCGCGGAGCUGGAGGCCGUGGAGGGCCUCCGCUGGCCGUGGCACUCGUGGCCGCCGACGCCCUCCGCCGCGGAGGCGCUCGUCGUCCCCACCGCGGUGCUCUGCACGCCGCUCCACCCGACGGCGCCCGACUUGCUCCCGAUCCUCCCCUACCCGCCCCUCCGCUGCGCCUCCCCGUCCUGCGCCGCGGCCCUCAACCCCUUCUCCCGCGUCCACCACGCCUCCGCCCGCUGGUCCUGCUCCUUCUGCGGCUCCAUGGCCAACCCCUACCCGCGCCACAUCUCCCCCGAUUCGAUUCCGGCCGAGCUAUUCCCCACCCAUUCCAGCGUCGAGUACACGCUUCCCCCGGACCCUGCGGAGGUUGGGGGCGGCGCCCCGCCCGCAAUCGUGUUCGUCGUCGAUGCGGCCACCGCGGGGGACGAGCUCGCCGCGCUCAAGGCCGAGCUGCUCAGGGUCGUGCAGGGGCUGCCUGAGAGGGUGAGGGUGGCGCUCGUCACGUUCUCGGCGUCGGUGUGGGUGCACGAUCUCGGCUUCGAGGGCUGCGCCAGGGUGGUCGUGUUCAAUGGGGAGCGUGAGCUCGAGUCAGACAAGAUACAGCAACUUCUAGGUGUUCGACAUUCACGAUACAACAAGUUGGCUACACUGAAACCCAUUGAAGCGCAGAGAUAUUUGCUGCCUGUUUCUGAAUGUGAAUUUAGCAUUACAUCUGCAAUAGAGGACCUGAGUUCUAUGUCUGCUUGCCCAUGUGGGCAUCGCCCAUUAAGGGCUACUGGCACUGCUAUUUCCACAGCUGUUGCUCUUCUGGAAGGUUGCUGCUCACCUAACACUGGUGGCCGAAUCAUGGUUUUUACAUCUGGUCCCACAACAGUGGGUCCAGGACUUGUGGUGGAAACCGAUCUCGGGAAGGCAAUUCGUUCGCAUCGUGACAUUUUCAAUGGCAAUGUGCCUCUUGUUGAAAAAGCCCAGGAUUUCUAUAAGAAAGUUGCCAAGAGAUUGACAGACAGUGCAUUAGUUCUUGAUCUUGUGGCUUGCUCUCUUGAUCAGAUUGGAGCUGCAGAGCUUAGGUAUCCAGUUGAAGUAUCUGGGGGCUUAAUGGUGCUUACAGAGUCAUUUGAGUCUGAACAGUUCAAAAGCUGUUUAAGGCAAACCUUCAAGCGUGAGGGUACUGAUUACCUUAACAUGAACUUCAAUGCAACGAUUGAGGUAGUGACAUCAAGGGAGGUCAAGAUUUGUGGUGCCCUUGGUCCUUGCAUCUCCCUUCACAGAAAAAACAGCUCCGUUAGUGAUAAAGAAAUUGGUGAGGGUGGGACAAAUUAUUGGAGAAUGAGUACAUUGAACAGCAAAACCUGUAUUGCUUUCUUCUUCCGAGCUGAUUGUAGCCGUGAUACCGAUCCCCCAACUGUCUUCUUUAUUCAGUUCAUGACAAGAUACCGACAUGGUGAUGGUAGCAAUCGCCUAAGGGUAACGACUGUUGCGAGAAGAUGGGCUGGACCUCGAUCUCCAGAAAUUGCUGCAGGGUUUGAUCAGGAAGCUGCUGCAGCAGUUGUGGCCAGGCUUGCUGUUCACAGAGCAGAGACAUACCAUGUUAGAGAUGUAAUACGAUGGCUUGACAAGAUGCUUAUUCGCUUCACUGCUAAGUUCGGAAACUAUGUCCCUGAAGAUCCAUCUACAUUUCGCUUGUCCACUAAUUUCUCCCUGUAUCCGCAGUUCAUGUACUACCUGCGAAGGUCACAGUUCAUUGAUGUUGGCAACAGCUCUCCUGAUGAAACUGCUUUCUUCCGAUUGAUGUUGAAUAGGGAGGGAGUUGUGGGAUCCCUGAUCAUGAUCCAGCCAACUUUAUUCCAGUACUCAUUUGAUGGACCACCUAUCCCUGUGCUGCUAGAUGUCAGCUCCAUCUCUCCUGAUGUCAUUUUGCUAUUUGAUUCGUACUUCUAUAUAGUGAUUCAUUAUGGCUCGAAGAUUGCUCAGUGGAGGAAACUUGGCUAUCAUAGAGACCCAAAUCAUGAAAACUUACGGAAGCUGCUUGAAGCACCAGAAGUUGAUGCAGAGGCACUAUUGGCAGACCGUUUUCCAGUGCCAAAACUCAUAAAAUGUGAUCAGCAUGGGAGCCAAGCCAGGUUUUUACUAGCCCGAUUGAAUCCAUCUGUGACACAGAAAUCACAGCUUUCUGAAGGAUCUGAGGUCAUAUUCACCGACGAUGUUUGUCUGCAAGUUUUUAUUGAACACUUGCAGGAGUUGGCUGUUCAGGGUUAGCGACGCAUGGACCUGCCCAUGGUUCCGCUAUCUCAGUUGGGCCCAUCUCAGAUCCUGAAGAUACGGCUUUCUGAUAGAUGGAAUGUCAUAUUCACGGGUGGUGUUUACUUGCAAGUUUUAUUGAACACUUGCAGUAACUGGCUGUACAGGAUGAAAGAGUCCAUGUGGAAUUAGUUACGUGUUAUUUCUGGCCAUAUGUUAUCUUGAAAUAUUGCCAGAGCUGCCUGGAGGAGUGAGAUCUCCUUGAUUUGUACAUUUGCUUCAGCUCCAGUUUGAUGUUCUGAUGCCGACGGUGACGGAUCUUACCAGUUGCGGUGAAGGUGCUGAACAUCUUCUGCAGAGCAAUGGAGAGGUCCUUGUAGGUGUUGUACAUCUUGAGAUCCACCUUGCGCAGGUAGGGCGCGCCGUCCAUGC